UCUGAACUGAGUGGCAAAACAUAGGGAAUGGGACAUCAGGAGGGCCAGUCUCAGUUUUAAUGCUAUGACCCUGGGCAAAUUACCUGUCUGCCCCUGUUUUAUCACACCACACACUUUGUCUUGUCUGUCCAGACUCUAGCUGCUUUGGGACAGACACCAUCUCUCAAAAUGUGUUAGUAAUUCUCCUUGGAGGGCACUGGAGAACAAAAUAAGUGCUUAGUAUAUCAUCAAAAUAUUUAGUAAAUAAUAGGCAAUUGUGAGUCACUGCCCUGUAACUCCAUGUCUGGCUCUUGGUUUGUUGAAGAACAGCUAUGAAUCAGCUUUGGUCUGCAGGGUACUUGGAAAGCACCCAGCACGCGGACAGCUUCGUCUGUGAAUGCCUUUUUUUUUACAGGAUAAUCUGGUUCUGCGAUAGCACAGGGGAGUUUUGGCUGAUACAGUGACAUCAGGCUCAGCGCUCCUACCCCACACAAAGAAGAGUUCAUUCUGCUGGGGGUUGCCCUUCUCUUCCCAGCCCUUCCACCCCUGCACCUUUGGCUGCUGGAUGAUGCUCUUGUCAGCCCAGUGAAAAUUCUUGUGCAAUCCUGACAAAUGAACACCACAAGAAGUUGGAUCUGGAAAGACCAUCUUCAGCUGUUAUCGCCUGCCUUCACACACUCCGAGGCCAGAUGGCUGAAGAGAAGGCGUUCAGCCACCAGUCGGUGGGCACUACAGGACUUUCCCAUCAAUCCAGAGAAAGACAAUUCAUUUUUCCCUUUCUGGUAUCAUUCAGACUGCUGUGUGAUGGGAGACUCAAGGCUCCAGCAGUAUGUGCAGAAGAUUGGGUACAUUGAGAUAGCCCUUGAAUAAUGUUGCGAAGGUGGACAGAGAUUAAGAAGAAAAGCAUCCAGUUUGGAGUCAGACAGUAUAAAGAAAUGAAAAUAAAAUUCAGGUCGAAAUGCACUUGA
rnacentral:lncRNA from 1 species